rnacentral:misc_RNA from 1 species
GAUGAAGAACGUAGCGAAAUGCGGUAAGUAAUGUGAAUUGCAGAAUUCAGUGAAUCAUCGAAUCUUUGAACGCACAUUGCGCCCCCUGGUAUUCCGGGGGGCAUGCCUGUUCGAGCGUCAUUUCACCACUCAAGCCUCGCUUGGUAUUGGGCAACGCGGUCCGCCGCGUGCCUCAAAUCGACCGGCUGGGUCUUCUGUCCCCUAAGCGUUGUGGAAACUAUUCGCUAAAGGGUGUUCGGGAGGCUACGCCGUAAAACAACCCCAUUUCUAAGGUUGACCUCGGAUCAGGUAGGGAUACCCGCUGAACUUAAGCAUAUCAAUAAGCGGAGGA